UACGGAGGGUGCAAGCGUUAUCCGGAUUCACUGGGUUUAAAGGGUGCGUAGGUGGCGCUGUAAGUCGGGUGUGAAAUUUCGGAGCUUAACUCCGAAACUGCAUUCGAUACUGCGGUGCUUGAGGACUGGAGAGGAGACUGGAAUUCAUGGUGUAGCAGUGAAAUGCGUAGAGAUCAUGAGGAAGACCAGUGGCGAAGGCGGGUCUCUGGACAGUUCCUGACACUGAGGCACGAAGGCCAGGGGAGCAAACGGG
rnacentral:rRNA from 1 species